UCUGAAGUAGCCAUGCGUAAAACUCCAAGGAAACAAAUUAGAAAAAAAAAAGUGUAGGCCUUUGAAUUAUUCCAAAGCCUCAAACAAAAUAUUGAAAAGCAACUGUUAGCACAGCAGAGCCAUAGCUAGGCUGAACUCUCACUGAAGUAACUUGGUGACGUGUGCAAGUGACGGCAAGAUUCUAAUGCACUGCAAAUGCCGGCUGUGCUGGGAGAGCGUCAUUCAAUCCAGCGCGCUCCAGGCUCUUGGCAGAAAAGGACUUUUAUAGGAUGUAAGAAAUGCUGUAAAUCCAAUACCAUGGUUUGGAUGGGGAAAGGGAGAGUGAGGCAAUGCAAAAGUAGAAUUCCUAGAGCCAUUCCCGAAACACGCUGGGUUUGGGGGAGAGAGGUGUCUCGAGAUUGUUUCAAUGAGCUGUUGGGAAACAUUUCAGAAGCAGGGAUGAGAAGCUGCUCUGCUUCUCAUUGUGGCAAUGUGUGGUCAUCUGUUUGACUCAGAGGACCGCGGGAAGGCCCAGUUAUUCUGAACACGCAUUUUCCUAACUACGGGUUGGUAAAGACUUCUUCAGUGUACGCACCCUGCGAGAUGCUAUGGGUUAUGUGCCAUCCACGUUUUGUUUUGCGUAUUUUCCCUGCUUAUUUUUCCUACAAUAUCUGAAAUUAAUGGUUCACACAAAUUAGAGAUUUGAGGGGAUGUAUUUCGGGGAAGGGAUGAAGGGGCCUUCUCAGAGGAGUAUAACCUGGGGUGGGGUGAGGUCAGGGUCCUCUCGGUCAGGGGCAGCAGGCAAGGCUGACCUCCAAGGCAGGGGUAGGGUGGAGGUUGGGGGAAGAGCAGCAAAGAGUAAAUUCCACAGCCCACAUCACUCACAAAAUCAGAGAAACAGUGAACUAUUCUUCUGCUAGGUUCUCCUACUACUGUAAUAUUUAACAAAAGAGGUUCCUACUGUGAAAAUACAGCUCCAGCAUCAAUGGAGUAGAUCCGAUACACUUAUAUACGCUCAUGGAAUUUGCUUUUUCUCUUCCCUUGUGUUGAAUUUUAUAGCAUAAUAAAUACCGAGCCUCAGCAGCUUUCAUGUGCCUUGCAGGAGACAGUGGCAGCAGGGGCAAAUGAUUCUUCCUGGAUGGUGACUUUAACAAAGACUUCUUCUGGGGGGCACCGAUCUCCACCUGGCCAUGUCUUCAAGCCCAAGGAGAAGUCCCAGGAUGGGUCUGAGCUAAUCACGGUGAUCGCAAUACAAAUGACUGCGCUAAGCAUGGCACAGCUGGCCUCAAUCCUGGCCAAUGCAACCUGAGAAUCAACUGCUGGUGGGAUUCUGGGGGAGUUUUUCUCACUGUUAUAAACAGAUGCAUAAGCAGAAAUACUUCUCUUUGCUGGACACUGUCAUGUCUAAUGUGACGCCUGGAUCACUGAAGCCCCCAGAGGCCACGGGACACGCUGAAAAUGGCCCAGUGGGAAGGCGGAAAGCCUUGGGUCCUGAAAAACACUUCUAAGUCACUGACAGACCAAACUGAAAUCAUC
rnacentral:lncRNA from 1 species